rnacentral:rRNA from 1 species
GACGAACGCUGGCGGCGUGCUUAACACAUGCAAGUCGAACGGAAAGGCCCUGCUUUUGUGGGGUGCUCGAGUGGCGAACGGGUGAGUAACACGUGAGUAACCUGCCCUUGACUUUGGGAUAACUUCAGGAAACUUGGGCUAAUACCGGAUAUGAGCUCCUGCUGCAUGGUGGGGGUUGGAAAGUUUCGGCGGUUGGGGAUGGUCUCGCGGCUUAUCAGCUUGUUGGUGGGGUAGUGGCUUACCAAGGCUUUGACGGGUAGCCGGCCUGAGAGGGUGACCGGCAACAUUGGGACUGAGAUACGGCCCAGACUCCUACGGGAGGCAGCAGUGGGGAAUAUUGCACAAUGGGCGGAAGCCUGAUGCAGCAACGCCGCGUGCGGGAUGACGGCCUUCGGGUUGUAAACCGCUUUCGCCUGUGACGAAGCGUGAGUGACGGUAAUGGGUAAAGAAGCACCGGCUAACUACGUG